GAUGAACGCUGGCGGCGUGCCUAAUACAUGCAAGUCGAGCGAACGGACGAGAAGCUUGCUUCUCUGAUGUUAGCGGCGGACGGGUGAGUAACACGUGGAUAACCUACCUAUAAGACUGGGAUAACUUCGGGAAACCGGAGCUAAUACCGGAUAAUAUUUUGAACCGCAUGGUUCAAAAGUGAAAGACGGUCUUGCUGUCACUUAUAGAUGGAUCAGCGCUGCAUUAGCUAGUUGGUAAGGUAACGGCUUACCAAGGCAACGAUGCAUAGCCGACCUGAGAGGGUGAUCGGCCACACUGGAACUGAGACACGGUCCAGACUCCUACGGGAGGCAGCAGUAGGGAAUCUUCCGCAAUGGGCGAAAGCCUGACGGAGCAACGCCGCGUGAGUGAUGAAGGUCUUCGGAUCGUAAAACUCUGUUAUUAGGGAAGAACAUAUGUGCAAGUAACUGUGCACAUCUUGACGGUACCUAAUCAGAAAGCCACGGCUAACUACGUG
rnacentral:rRNA from 1 species